rnacentral:rRNA from 1 species
UACGUAGGCAGCGAGCGUUGUUCGGAAUUACUGGGCGUAAAGAGUGUGUAGGCGGUGUUCCCAGUCUGUUGUGAAAUCUCCCGGCUUAACUGGGAGGGUGCAGCGGAAACUAGAAUGCUAGAGGGUGGGAGAGGUAAGCGGAAUUCCUGGUGUAGCGGUGAAAUGCGUAGAUAUCAGGAGGAACACCUGUGGUGUAGACAGAUUACUGGACCACUUCUGACGCUGAGACACGAAAGCGUGGGUAGCAAACAGG